GUGACUUAGAGAUGAAUCUGCCCCUGUUUCUUCACAGAGCAGGUACAGUACAGGCAGUGGCAGUGCAGAGUUCUCCCAGACUUUCCAUCCAAUGGCCCAAACCAUGACCUGACAGGGCCAAUUCUAGGUGUAAAAAGAAAAUUAAGCUCUUGAUUCAGCAAAGCACUUAG
rnacentral:sRNA from 1 species